rnacentral:rRNA from 1 species
UACAGAGGUCUCAAGCGUUGUUCGGAUUCAUUGGGCGUAAAGGGUGCGUAGGCGGCGCGGUAAGUCGGGUGUGAAAUCCUUCGGCUCAACCGAAGAACGUCGGCCGAUACUGCUGUUCUUGAGGGAUGCAGAGGAGAUUGGAAUUCCCGGUGUAGCGGUGAAAUGUGUAGAGAUCGGGAGGAACACCGGUGGCGAAGGCGGGUCUCUGGGCAUUUCCUGACGCUGAGGCGCGAAAGCGUGGGGAGCAAGCGGG